UUGCACACAGUUCGAGAGAUUGCCAG
rnacentral:piRNA from 1 species